CAGCCGCCGCGGUAAUACGAAGGGUGCAAGCGUUACUCGGAAUUACUGGGCGUAAAGCGUGCGUAGGUGGUGGUUUAAGUCCGUUGUGAAAGUCCUGGGCUCAACCUGGGAAUUACAGUGGAUACUGGGUCACUAGAGUGUGGUAGAGGAUAGUGGAAUUUCCGGUGUAGCAGUGAAAUGCGUAGAGAUCGGAAGGAACAUCUGUGGCGAAGGCGACUAUCUGGGCCAACACUGACACUGAGGCACGAAAGCGUGGGGAGCAAACAGGAUUAGAGACCCGCGUAGUCCCUGUCUCUUAUAC
rnacentral:rRNA from 1 species